UACAGAGGUCCCGAGCGUUGUUCGGAUUUACUGGGCGUAAAGGGCGCGUAGGCGGCGCAACAAGUCACUUGUGAAAUCUCCGGGCUUAACCCGGAGCGGCCAAGUGAUACUGUCGUGCUAGAGUGCGGAAGGGGCUACUGGAAUUCUCGGUGUAGCGGUGAAAUGCGUAGAUAUCGAGAGGAACACCUGCGGCGAAGGCGGGUAGCUGGGCCGACACUGACGCUGAUGCGCGAAAGCCAGGGGAGCGAACGGG
rnacentral:rRNA from 1 species